UACGAAGGGGGCUAGCGUUGUUCGGAAUUACUGGGCGUAAAGCGCGUGUAGGUGGCGAUGUAAGUCGGGUGUGAAAUCCCUCAGCUUAACUGAGGAAGUGCACUCGAUACUGUGUCGCUUGAGUGUUGGAGGGGAUGGCGGAAUUCCCGGUGUAGAGGUGAAAUUCGUAGAUAUCGGGAGGAACACCUGUGGCGAAGGCGGCCAUCUGGACAACUACUGACACUGAGACGCGAAAGCGUGGGUAGCAAACAGG
rnacentral:rRNA from 1 species